rnacentral:rRNA from 1 species
CACGUAGGGUGCGAGCGUUGUCCGGAAUUAUUGGGCGUAAAGAGCUCGUAGGCGGUUUGUCGCGUCGGCCGUGAAAACCUGCAGCUUAACUGUGGGCGUGCGGUCGAUACGGGCAUCACUGGAGUUCGGCAGGGGAGACUGGAAUUCCUGGUGUAGCGGUGAAAUGCGCAGAUAUCGGGAAGAACACCCGUGGCGAAGGCGGCACUCUGGGACGGUACUGACGCUGAGACGCGAAAGCGUGGGGAGCGAACAGG